AAAGAGCAGGUGUUCUUAAUGUUUAGUAUACUCAGUGUAUGUUAUACAUAUGGGUACGUACAGAUAGAUACAGAAUAGUUUGCGGAAAUCAUAGAAAUUUAGAAACACCCAGAGACGAUAAGUAUUGGCCAAUACAGAUGAACUGUUUGAAUUACAUUAUUGAGUAGGUCCAAAUCACAGUUACAGUACUCAAGUUACCUCUUUCCUCCCCAGCCUUCAAAGGAGUGGACGUUCGCGACCUGGAGAUUGUGGAACUCCUGAGGAAGUUCCGUAUCCUCUGCUACCUGAAAAUGGUCUCCAAGUUCAGGCAGAUCUGCCUUAUCUUGUUGGCCAUCUCCAAAGCUUUCAAGGCCAUGACCUUCAUAUUGUUACUGCUGCUGGUGUUUGCUUAUAUCUUCGCUGUGGUCGGAGUCAUCUUGUUCCAGAGUUACACUCGCUCCAACGUCGAGGGCCUGGUCUACGAUAUUAACUAAAUGUCUACAACUCCUUCAUCCCUCUCGUCAUCCUCUUCAUCAUGGAUCACUAGUCUGCUCUGCUCGCCGACACCUGCAAUCUUCCAGAACUGAACCAAGCCACCUGUGGCCUGUACAUCAUCCCCUGGCUCCAAACAUAAAACAGACUGGAUUUCCAUUGCAAACCUUUUUAAACCAUUUUCUAUUUCAUGCCCUAAUGAAUGGCCCCGUGGUUUCCUCUGUUAGACUGGGAGGCGUACGUGGAGAACAACAUGAUGGUGAUACAGGACCUGGUUUCCUCGGUUAGACUGGGAGGCGUACGUGCAGAAACUCCUGGAUGAGGAGAGGAAGAGGCUGCAGAACCACCUGGACCAGGAGAGGAAGAGGCUGCAGAACCACCUGGACCAGGAGAGGAAGAGGCUGCAGAACCGUCAGGUAGCUAAUUUUCCCCAAACAUCAGACACCCCCUGACCUCGGACACUUUCUAGCGGUUGGAUGACUGAAUCACCUCGAGCUCAACAUUUAA